CUAGACCCUCUGUGAUUCAGAUCUCAUCUGGCUUGCCUGGUUGAUGCACUGAUGCCCUGUCUGGACUAUACACUGAACAAUUAAAAAGGAAUUCAUCAGUGUCAGUAGUCUUACUCGGUGCUGAUUAAUAUCUUUCUUAAGGUUUAAUAUACAGGAAAUUCAAGGGACAAGAUAGCAUGCAGUGCUCCCACGUAUCGAAACGUGAAAUAGAACCAGGGCAUUUCUGUGAUCGUUUCAGUGUAAUUGCUGAAGAAUUGUCCCAUUAGUCUCCAGCAAUUUGUGAGGAGUAAAAAAAGAGCCAUAUGAAGUGAACUGAAAACAACAUCAUCAAAUAAUCUACAAAGGAAAAUAGAAGAAGACAAAUGGUGUGACUACAAGGCUAGCACUGGGCAAUAAACAUCUAAUGUGUGUGGUUGCCAUAUGAUUGCUCAGAUUUAAAUAUUUAUUCAUUUUAGGGAUAAGUCAGUCCAGUGAAAUUGUAACUCCUCUACAGUCUUAUUUGACCAAUUCUUUAUUACUAUGACUAUGUAAUAUGAGGAUGAAUAAAGUCAAUUUUGUGGUAUAGCCUAGCAGGUGGCUCAGCUCCACAAAGUUUGUGCGAGAGGAGUGAGCAAACAACUGUGCGGUGCUGAGCCACCUGCCAGUUAAACCACAAUAGUCAAUUUGCUGCCCAAAGUGGGGCAGAGGGUUGAGAUAACAGCAGACCUGAGCGGACUGUGUUAACACAGGGUGUUGUGGUAGUUUGAUAAUUGCUGCUCACGAUGUUGAGGUUGAUUUUUUCCAUAUUUACAGAGCAAUUUGAGAGUCUUAACUAUACUUCGUAGUACCUAGCUUGCUGUUUGUUUGUCCAUUAUGGGGGUUGGAUUAAGGUUUUUAUUUUCUAUGCUGUGUGUGGUAUUAGCUUAUAUUAUGAUAAAAUUGACAGCUGAGAAAGUGUUUUGUGUGCAUUUGGCAUAGCAGUCACCUUUGGGUUUUGGAAGCCAUAUUGUUGAUACUAUUAGUAAUUACACCUCUUGCAUUGUCUCCUCAGAGAGGCUGGCUAAUGAGGAGAUAGAGGAGGACACUUUCCAGCAGUCCAUCAGCCUUUCUUUCGCCUUUCCUUCUUUCCAUAGAGCUCAAAAGCUAAUUGCAAUAGCUCUUAAGAAUUUUGAAUAUCUCUGAGAUGCUCAAGCCAACAUGCCACUAUCACUAUGUGAUGUAAAUGUGUCCCAGGUCAUGUUUAAGAUUAAACAAUUAGUUACGAAUAUCAUCCAGAGAUCUGCCCCGAGGCAGGAUUGUUCUGAGUAGUAGGGAGUAUGGGAUAGUAUGGGCAGGUGCCUAGAGUGGUGGGCACCCCCAGUGGUUUGGAACUUCACCUUGGAACAACUGCAAAAUUCUGAAAAACUAGUAGAAUAUUUGCAAAAGGUCUGCUGUUGCUGUGGCAAUCCUAAAGAGGCACAAAUCAUUGCAGCAUGCUGGGGUCAGGCCUAUGCCUGUCAAGCUCCGUUCAACAUU
ensembl:lncRNA